rnacentral:rRNA from 1 species
GUAAGGAAUAUUGGUCAAUGGGCGGAAGCCUGAACCAGCCAUGCCGCGUGCAGGAUGACUGCCCUAUGGGUUGUAAACUGCUUUUGUCCAGGAAUAACCCCAGAUACGAGUAUCUGGCUGAAUGUACUGGAAGAAUAAGGAUCGGCUAACUCCGUGCCAGCAGCCGCGGUAAUACGGAGGAUCCGAGCGUUAUCCGGAUUUAUUGGGUUUAAAGGGUGCGUAGGCGGCCUGUUAAGUCAGGGGUGAAAUACGGUGGCUCAACCAUCGCAGUGCCUUUGAUACUGACGGGCUUGAAUCCAUUUGAAGUGGGCGGAAUAAGACAAGUAGCGGUGAAAUGCAUAGAUAUGUCUUAGAACUCCGAUUGCGAAGGCAGCUCACUAAGCUGGUAUUGACGCUGAUGCACGAAAGCGUGGGGAUCGAACAGGAUUAGAUACCCCAGUAGUCC